rnacentral:rRNA from 1 species
AGUGAACGCUGGCGGCGUGCCUAAUACAUGCAAGUCGAACGAAGUGGCGCACGGGUGAGUAAUAUAUAGUUAAUCUGCCCUACACAGAGGAACAACAGUUGGAAACGGCUGCUAAUACCUCAUAGUGUAGGAUGAGGCUAUAUCGGAUCAGCUAGUUGGUGAGGUAAUGGCUUACCAAGGCUAUGACGCGUAACUGGUCUGCGAGGAUGAUCAGUCACAUUGGAACGGAGACACGGUCGAAACUCCUACGGGAGGCAGCAGUAAGGUAUAGUGAGCAAUGGGGGAAACCCUAACGCGGCAUCGCCGCGUGGAGGAUUACACGUUUCGGGGCGUAAACUCCGGUUAGUAAGAAAGCGGUACCUGAUGAAUAAGCACCGGCUAACUCCGUGCCAGCAGCCGCGGUAAUAC